GAUGAACGCUGGCGGCGUGCCUAAUACAUGCAAGUCGAGCGAACAGACGAGGAGCUUGCUCCUCUAACGUUAGCGGCGGACGGGUGAGUAACACGUGGAUAACCUACCUAUAAGACUGGGAUAACUUCGGGAAACCGGAGCUAAUACCGGAUAAUAUAUUGAACCGCAUGGUUCAAUAGUGAAAGACGGUUUUGCUGUCACUUAUAGAUGGAUCCGCGCCGCAUUAGCUAGUUGGUAAGGUAACAGCUUACCAAGGCAACGAUGCGUAGCCGACCUGAGAGGGUGAUCGGCCACACUGGAACUGAGACACGGUCCAGACUCCUACGGGAGGCAGCAGUAGGGAAUCUUUCGCAAUGGGUGAAAGCCUGACGGAGCAACGCCGCGUGAGUGAUGAAGGUCUUCGGAUCGUAAAACUCUGUUAUUAGGGAAGAACAAAUGUGUAAGUAACUAUGCACGUCUUGACGGUACCUAAUCAGAAAGCCACGGCUAACUACGUGCCAGCCGCCGCCGUAA
rnacentral:rRNA from 1 species